UAUCGAGUCUGCUAAUAUUUGCCUAAAUA
rnacentral:piRNA from 1 species